UAGGGAAUCUUCGGCAAUGGACGAAAGUCUGACCGAGCAACGCCGCGUGAGUGAAGAAGGUUUUCGGAUCGUAAAACUCUGUUGGUAGAGAAGAACGUUGGUGAGAGUGGAAAGCUCAUCAAGUGACGGUAACUACCCAGAAAGGGACGGCUAACUACGUGCAAG
rnacentral:rRNA from 1 species